AUUGAACGCUGGCGGCAGGCUUAACACAUGCAAGUCGAGCGGGGACUUCGGUCCUAGCGGCGAACGGGUGAGGAAUGCUUGGGAAUCUGCCUGGUAGUGGGGGAUAACGUUUCGAAAGGAACGCUAAUACCGCAUACGUCCUACGGGAGAAAGGGGGGGAUCUUCGGACCUCUCGCUAUCAGAUGAGCCCAAGUCGGAUUAGCUAGUUGGUGAGGUAAGGCUCACCAAGGCGACGAUCCGUAGCUGGUCUGAGAGGAUGAUCAGCCACACUGGAACUGAGACACGGUCCAGACUCCUACGGGAGGCAGCAGUGGGGAAUAUUGGACAAUGGGCGAAAGCCUGAUCCAGCCAUGCCGCGUGUGUGAAGAAGGUCUUCGGAUUGUAAGGCACUUUAAGUCGGGAGGAAGGGCUGUAGGUUAAUACCCUGCAGUUUUGACGUUACCGACAGAAUAAGCACCGGCUAACUUCGUGCCAGCCGCCGCGGUAAAAC
rnacentral:rRNA from 1 species